rnacentral:rRNA from 1 species
UACGUAGGGGGCGAGCGUUGUCCGGAUUCAUUGGGCGUAAAGAGCUCGUAGGCGGCUUGGUUAGUUGGGUGUGAAACCUCCAGGCUUAACCUGGAGACGCCACUCAAUACUGCCAUGGCUAGAGUCCGGUAGGGGACCACGGAAUUCCUGGUGUAGCGGUGAAAUGCGCAGAUAUCAGGAGGAACACCGGUGGCGAAGGCGGGUCUCUGGGCCGAUACUGACGCUGAGGAGCGAAAGCGUGGGGAGCAAACAGG